CAAAAUGACUCUCGGCAACGGAUAUCUCGGCUCUUGCAUCGAUGAAGAACGUAGCAA
rnacentral:rRNA from 1 species